CCUCUUGGAGAGCGGCGGACGGGUGAGUAAAGCCUAGGAAUCUGCCUGGUAGUGGGGGAUAACGCUCGGAAACGGACGCUAAUACCGCAUACGUCCUACGGGAGAAAGCAGGGGACCUUCGGGCCUUGCGCUAUCAGAUGAGCCUAGGUCGGAUUAGCUAGUUGGUGAGGUAAUGGCUCACCAAGGCGACGAUCCGUAACUGGUCUGAGAGGAUGAUCAGUCACACUGGAACUGAGACACGGUCCAGACUCCUACGGGAGGCAGCAGUGGGGAAUAUUGGACAAUGGGCGAAAGCCUGAUCCAGCCAUGCCGCGUGUGUGAAGAAGGUCUUCGGAUUGUAAAGCACUUUAAGUUGGGAGGAAGGGCAUUAACCUAAUACGUUAGUGUUUUGACGUUACCGACAGAAUAAGCACCGGCUAACUCUGUGCCAGCAGCCGCGGUAAUACAGAGGGUGCAAGCGUUAAUCGGAAUUACUGGGCGUAAAGCGCGCGUAGGUGGUUCGUUAAGUUGGAUGUGAAAUCCCCGGGCUCAACCUGGGAACUGCAUUCAAAACUGUCGAGCUAGAGUAUGGUAAGGGUGGGGGGGAAUUUCCUGGGGUACGGUGAAAUGCGUAGAUUUAGGAAGGAACACCAGUGGGCGAAGGCGACCACCUGGACUGAUACUGACACUGAGGUGCGAAAGCGUGGGGGAGCAAACAGGAUUAGAUACCCUGGGUAGUCCACGCCGUAAACGAUGUCAACUAGCCGUUGGGAGCCUUGAGCUCUUAGUGGCGCAGCUAACGCAUUAAGUUGACCGCCUGGGGGAGUACGGCCGCAAGGUUAAAACUCAAAUGAAUUGACGGGGGCCCGCACAAGCGGUGGAGCAUGGGGGUUUAAUUCGAAGCAACGCGAAGAACCUUACCAGGCCUUGACAUCCAAUGAACUUUCCAGAAAAUUGGAUUGGUGGCCUUCGGGAACAUUUGAGACAGGUGCUGCAAUGGCUGUCGUCAGCUCGUGUCGUGAGAAUGUUGGGGUUAAGUCCCGUAACGAGCGCAACCCUUGUCCUUAGUUACCAGCACGUCAUGGUGGGCCCUCUUAAGGAGACUGCCGGUGACAACCCGA
rnacentral:rRNA from 1 species